rnacentral:lncRNA from 1 species
CAUGGGAUAGAGUAGUUUGUCCAUAGGAACCUUGGAACAAACAUCUUAACUCCGUUCAGGAAAAGUUCCUUCAGCUUCAGUGUAUGAGCACUCUGCAGCCUUCCUUCCUUCCACCUUGAUGUAGAAUUUGUAAAAGAAGUAAAUGAAAGAAGGUAUCUGAAGUAUGAGAACGGAAGGCCCCAUGCUGGUAUCAUCUGCUCCUAAGGAAACUUGAUUGAUGGAACAUGAAAGCUUUGAAAGUCUUGCUGAACUUAGGGUGAUGCCGUCAGCAGAAUCCAUAUGGCAUUGGAAGUGAAAUAGGCAAGCCAGAGUCUGGUAGGCUGAUGCAGAAAUGGUCCACACUUGAAUCCUAUCAUGUUUCCUUUUGCUUUGAAGGCAUGGAGAAGCCAUGGAAAAGAACUUAAACUGCUUAUUACUAAACUACAGGUUGUGAAACAAAUUCUGGGUGAUUCACAGUUAAAGGAUUCCAGUUUCAGAGCAUCCUCGUACAAGAGGAAUGAAAAAAUGCAACCAAAAACUUCCGGAGUGGAGUGUUGAUAACUGAAUGCAAAUGAUGUAAAGGCAGUGGCUGUGUUAGAAGGGAAUAUGUUUAUUGGCCUUGCUUGUCCAAAAGGCGAGUGGUGCCUAAAUAACAUUGUGCCGCAUGUGUAGGAGCACUGCUUUGGGGAAUGACCUCUGAAGUGACGGUCUUUCCAUCAGCUGGGGCUGGAAAUACUUUAAGGGUGAUGCAAUCUCCCUCUGAGAGGGAAACAUGCAGUAUGCGUUAGUGCAGUAUGCAUCGCCUUUUUCGGAUGGCCCCUAGUGCUGUGACUUUUCUGUUCUGCCAGGUGAGUGUACAGCGAAUGCUUCUUCAGGGGAUGCAGUUAAAUGAGAAUAUGAUUAUUCUGCCUGAAACACUUAGAACUGAAGACCAAGCAGAACUAGGCUGAAACCAUUGCCAUCAGAAACGGAAUAACCCUCUUAGCAAAUGAGAACGCCAGAAUUCAGGA